rnacentral:rRNA from 1 species
UACGAAGGGGGCUAGCGUUGUUCGGAAUUACUGGGCGUAAAGCGCACGUAGGCGGAUAUUUAAGUCAGGGGUGAAAUCCCGCAGCUCAACUGCGGAACUGCCUUUGAUACUGGGUAUCUUGAGUAUGGAAGAGGUAAGUGGAAUUCCGAGUGUAGAGGUGAAAUUCGUAGAUAUUCGGAGGAACACCAGUGGCGAAGGCGGCUUACUGGUCCAUUACUGACGCUGAGGUGCGAAAGCGUGGGGAGCAAACAGGAUUAGAACCCUAGUAGUCC